UGGGGAAUAUUGGACAAUGGGCGGAAGCCUGAUCCAGCAACGCCGCGUGAGGGAUGACGGCCUUCGGGUUGUAAACCUCUUUCAGCACAGACGAAGCGCAAGUGACGGUAUGUGCAGAAGAAGGACCGGCCAACUACGUGCCAGCAGCCGCGGUAAUACGUAGGGUCCGAGCGUUGUCCGGAAUUAUUGGGCGUAAAGGGCUCGUAGGCGGUUUGUCGCGUCGGGAGUGAAAACUCAGGGCUUAACUCUGAGCUUGCUUUCGAUACGGGCAGACUUGAGGCAUGCAGGGGAGAGCGGAAUUCCUGGUGUAGCGGUGAAAUGCGCAGAUAUCAGGAGGAACACCGGUGGCGAAGGCGGUUCUCUGGGCAUGUUCUGACGCUGAGGAGCGAAAGUGUGGGGAGCGAACAGGAUUAGAUACCCUGGUAGUCCACACCGUAAACGUUGGGCGCUAGGUGUGGGAUCCAUUCCACGGGUUCCGUGCCGCAGCUAACGCAUUAAGCGCCCCGCCUGGGGAGUACGGCCGCAAGGCUAA
rnacentral:rRNA from 1 species